CAGUAGCCGCGGGAAUACGUAGGGUGCAAGCGUUAAUCGGAAUUACUGGGCGUAAAGCGUGCGCAGGCGGUUCGCUAAGACAGAUGUGAAAUCCCCGGGCUUAACCUGGGAACUGCAUUUGUGACUGGCGGGCUAGAGUAUGGCAGAGGGGGGUAGAAUUCCACGUGUAGCAGUGAAAUGCGUAGAUAUGCGGAGGAACACCGAUGGCGAAGGCAAUCCCCUGGGCCUGCACUGACGCUCAUGCACGAAAGCGUGGGGAGCAAACAGGAUUAGAUACCCGCGUAGUCCCUGUCUCUUAUAC
rnacentral:rRNA from 1 species